rnacentral:misc_RNA from 1 species
GAUUACCAAAUCUGAGAAAGAUAUAGUUUAUCCACUCAGUAAUAUCGAUAGCAGAAGUCCUCCAGAAUGGCUUCAGAUCCUCAGAUCAAGAUAUAGCCAAUGCAGUGAGCUUGGAGGAAAGGAAGUAUUUACAGUUUGCAGAUUUAGAAUCUUUUGACUUGAAAAUAAGCUCUUCUUGAUCCAAGAUGCAUGGUACCUCUCAUAUGCGCUUCUGAACCUUCCGGUACAAAAAUCACCCAAGGAUUGUCAGUGUUGGGAUCAAACACGGUACUGUUCGCAUAUUGAAACCCAAGAAUGCAUCUAGCAUGAUCGAUGGCUUCAUAGUUCAAUUAUAAUAAAACCAAUAACAACACUACGAGUAUCGAUCAUGACUUCAUAAUUCAAUUAUAUAAAAUGUUCACCUCCAUGAGGCGACCACUUUCAUCUUUGCCGGUGAAAGAAAGGCCAGCAUCUUCA